rnacentral:rRNA from 1 species
ACGGGAUGCCCAGUAGCGGCGAGUGAAGCGGCAAGAGCUCAGAUUUGAAAUCGUGUUUCGGCACGAGUUGUAGAGUGUAGGCGGGAGUCUCUGUGGAGCGCGGUGUCCAAGUCCCUUGGAACAGGGUGCCUGAGAGGGUGAGAGCCCCGUAGGGUGCUGCGCGAAGCUUUUGAGGCCCUGCUGACGAGUCGAGUUGUUUGGGAAUGCAGCUCCAAGCGGGUGGUAAAUUCCAUCUAAGGCUAAAUAUUGGCGAGAGACCGAUAGCGAACAAGUACUGUGAAGGAAAGAUGAAAAGCACUUUGAAAAGAGAGUGAAACAGCACGUGAAAUUGUUGAAAGGGAAGGGUAUUGGGCUCGACAUGGGGGGUGCGCACCGCUGUCUCUUGUAGGCGGCGCUCUGGGCGCCCUCUGGGCCAGCAUCGGUUCCUGCUGCGGGAGAAGGGGCUCCGGAAAGUGGCUCUUCGGAGUGUUAUAGCCGGGGCCAGAUGCCGCGUGUGGGGACCGAGGACUGCGGCUUCUGUCUCGGAUGCUGGCAUAACGGCGCAAUACCGCCCGUCUUGAACAACGGACCAA